UCCAGGGCCACACCCGGGCUGCCCGUCGCUUGGGAGCGGCGCCCACUGGAAAGGUGGGGAGGAUGCGGCGAGGCGGCCGCAGGUGACCGCUGGCAGCCAUUGUGGCGUGCUCCCGCGCUGUCUUCGCCCAGCCAAAAAACCUUAAGAAGAUAGAGGUAAAAUUUUGCCUCCCCUACAGUUUCUGGUUAUGAGGUUGGGAUUUCAAUGGUUGGGACACUGAGAGAUCCUGGGACAGCUGACAAAAAGCCAGCAGAAGGGAUUUACUCUCUUUGCACAUUAGUCAGAACUGAGCUGCUUCAGAUGCCCAGAAGUGGGAAUCACUAGUUCAUUAUCUGUAUUAGAACAUCACAGCAUGUCCAAGGGCAUUGGUCAAGAUAGCAAAAAAGAUGAACACAACAGAAUGUAAGUCCAAUGAGAAGAGUCACUAGAACAUCUGUGGGAGCACAGAGGAGAAACUGCCCAGGAGUCAAGAAAGUUUUCACAGAGGAGGUAAUAUUUGACUUGAAUUCUGAAGGAUAAGUAAGAAUAUUGUCAGGUGAGUAUUUUCUAGGCAGAAGAUGAGCAUGUAGAAUGUCACAUAAACAUGAGAGAAUAACCCACACAUUUUCAAUUUGGGGAUGGAAGAAUGAGAAAGGAAGAGAGGAGAUUUAGAUGUCCAUAACUUGGGCAAUGGUAGUGGGAAUUCAUAAGACAGGGCCACAAAAGAUAUCUCAGAAGUAGAACUGACAGGACCUGGUAAUUCAUGUCAGGGAAGCAGCAAAAAGAGAGGGAUCAAGAGAGAUGCCCGGUUGUAUUUGUACAUGGCUAUGUAGUGACAUCUCCUUCUGUUCAUUCACAAAAUAUUUAUUGAAGGCUUACUUAUGUGCCAAGUAGUAGGUGGUAGUGCUUAAUGGGCUCCUGGUACAAUGUCUUAACGUUAUGUGAUUAUAGGGAUCAGAAAAGAAAGUAUUAAAUCCACAUUUAAUUACUGGCCCACUAACGAAACUUUUAUUUCUGUGGAAUAAUCUUAUUUUCAGGGACAUUAAAUGGGCAAAGGUCUUGUGCUAAGGUGAGAGUGGCAGUUCCUCCUCUAAUGAGAUAGAGCAGGAAUCUGAUCCCUGAGGGGAGAGAUCAAUCCACAGACUGGCAGGUAUGAAGUCUGAUAAUAUAAAGUUUAAGAAAGGAUGUGAAGAAACAGGAGCUCCUUCAUAAACUGCUUGCAGAUUAGUACGUUGCAUUUAGAAAAGCAAUUUGGCGGUUUGCAGUAAAACUGAAAAUGUACAUUUUGUAGAACUUGGCCAUUGGAUUUCUGUAUCCCUGAGCACUGUUCUGCAAAGCAAGGCUCUACCACCCCAGGCAUGUGUGGGAAGAAAAUGUGAGAACUUCUAUAGAUGUGUUUUUAAAAUAUGUAUAUAUACAGAAAUGAAAAAGAAAUUGAACUUUACUAAAAUUUAUUAUAAGGAUUGAAGC